UACAGAGGUCCCGAGCGUUGUUCGGAUUCAUUGGGCGUAAAGGGUGCGUAGGUGGCGCCGUAAGUGGGGUGUGAAAUCCCGGGGCUUAACCCCGGGACUGCAUUCCAUACUGCGGUGCUUGAGGACUGGAGAGGAGACUGGAAUUUACGGUGUAGCAGUGAAAUGCGUAGAGAUCGUAAGGAAUACCACUGGCGAAGGCGGUUCUCUGGACAGUUCCUGACACUGAGGCACGAAGUCCAGGGGAGCAAACGGG
rnacentral:rRNA from 1 species